rnacentral:rRNA from 1 species
UACGUAGGGGGCAAGCGUUGUCCGGAAUCAUUGGGCGUAAAGCGCGUGUAGGCGGCUGGCUAAGUCCGCUCUGAAAGCCCGGGGCUCAACCCCGGGAGGCGGGUGGAUACUGGUCAGCUCGAGUCCGGAAGAGGAGAAUGGAAUUCCUGGUGUAGCGGUGAAAUGCGCAGAUAUCAGGAAGAACACCCGUGGCGAAGGCGGUUCUCUGGGACGGUACUGACGCUGGAGACGCGAAAGCGUGGGGAGCGAACAGG